CUUACAAGUCUUGCGGUGACAGCUAGUGUCGUGAGCUGUGCAUGAGAGCUGCUGGCUUGAUCGCAUGAUCCUUAAACCGGGUCUAGCGCCAUUUUAGACGUUGCUGUUUGGCGGCUGGGACUCGUACCGCAGAAGCGGAAGAAGUGGAGCAGGAAACAGGUUACUGAGGGCUACUGUGAUCUGAGGGAGAGAUGAGAUCUUGUGCAGUGAGCUUCGAUCAGUGCUGUGGCCUGUGUGCACUGCAGAGGGGGACCAUGCUCCAGCUGUUGAGACGGGUGUAGCGUUCUUCAGCCGACAGAGCCAAGAACCCGCUGAGGAUCAGCCAGGAUCUCUGCCAGGUGGUUGAUAUCUUUGAUGAUACUCAUGAUGCUGCACCAUCAGACUUGGAAACCAGAAUUUUAAUUGAUUGUGUUACUGCCAUAAGGAAUGGUGUAUCUAUAUGAGUGAAACAAUUAAAUUUUACCUAAACAUUAUUUCUCAAGGUUUUGUGCCUUACAAGGGAGACUGGUUAGAAGUUGAGUAUUCCAUGCAUCCAGACACCUCGAACAUCAUGGCACACUCAGCAAAGCCCAUGAACUCUAAGCAUGUAGAAGAGGUAAUUUGUGUGCAUGUUGCACUUGAACUCUAGGCAUGUAGAAGAGGUAAUUUAUUUGCAUGUUGUACUUGACCUUCCUUAUUGUCAGUGUUUCCUUUGGUGUUAAUUUCAUUCCCUGCUUUCUAUUUCAUGCGCUGUGAUAACUAUAAAUUCUAUUAUUUGUCAAAGAGGAGUUUUUUU
rnacentral:lncRNA from 1 species